UGUACAACUUGGCAUAUAUCAAACUGGGUUUCCUACCUCGUUCAGUUGUGUGAGUUGUGUUCCUGUGGCGGUUUUUUUCCUCAGGGAAGGGAAAUCUGGGUGCUCAUUUUUUUGUGAUACCAAACUUCGCCUUUCUCCCUUCCGGUUGAAGUUGUACGGUUGUCCCAGUCAUUUGACCACGAUGUCAACCUUGAGCGACUCUCUGAUUGAGGUUACCAGAUUUCGCAACUCUUUUGGCUUAGAUGGCAAGCAUACAACACAGGAAGUUCAACUUUGUAGAACAAUUCUGUAUCUGCAGUUCCUUCGAUCAUGUUGUCAACCAUGUGAAUCCUUGUCAUAUUCGACGUCAGAAUCUAAUACCAUGUAUAUGCAGUUCCUUUGGUAAUAUUCUCAAGCGUGAGCAUCCACAUCACAUUCUGAUUCAGAUACUAGCACCAUCUAAGUUCAGUAGUUGCAGAGAGCAGCCGCGAGUUCUCAAGGACUAGUUUCCAGCGAUUCGAGAACGAGGACAAGUAGACUCCUUUGUUGAAGUGGAACAUAAAUGACUUCGCAGAAGGCAGUGUACAUCAUCUUGAUGAGUGGGAGAGGAAUAGAAUAACGGCCUUGGUCCAAAUCAGAGGUGACCUUUACCAAGAACAGCCUGCCGUUGAUAAGAUAAAGGUGCCCACAAGUUGAUUACUCAUUCCAGUCGCAUAGUGCUUACAAACUGGAUUCGAGUCCUGUUGUUAGCCGUCAGGAGAUCACUUCGAAUCCCUUAACUGGCGUCCUCUGCUUAUGUAGGGGUGUGCUUUACUGCAGCAGACGAUCUCGCAUUUUAGACCUUGAUGUUGGAUAGCUUUGUUGCUGUCCAUAUGAUACAGUGGGAGUCACACGUUGCGGCUUAACAUCAACCACGGGAGUACAUGAGAGCACCUCACAGGCGUGGCUUCUAAACUAUCGAGAUGACUGCGGUCUUGUAUCUCAUGCAGGCUUCAACUUAAAACCCGAUGUGAGGGACUGAGGUUUGAAGCCUGAUGUACUUCCUAGUAUCUUAAUAUUUUUUAUUUUCCAUUUUGAUAAAAUAUAAAUAUAGAAUUUUAUAAUCAAAAUAAAAAUGCAAUCUUUCUAUGUAUAUAUAUAUAUAUAUAUAUAUAUAUAUUUAUCUUUUCAAUCGUUUUAUAGAUUUACCAUGCAUUAACGAAUUCAACUUAACUGUUUAUUUCUGACUGGUUAUCAGUGGGGGGGGGAUACUAAUCAACUAUUUAAUUAAUAAAGUUUUGAAAUGGUGCGAGGUAGCAUGAGAAUAUUCUAGAUUCCUCGCAUCUACCUCUUUCCCUCACUGAGCAUUUGAGUGGCUUAGUGGUUCUUUUGAUAUUCAAAACAAUUCAAGGAUUAUUACCGCAUUCGAACAUCACUGAACUUUGUGAAGGCAUUCUAAGUUGUUAUAUGUUCAAAAGUAAACCGUGUGAACAGGUUGUACUGGACGUCUUUCUUUUGCCACAGUUAAAGGAAAGCAGAUUGCAUUGAACCUAUCAUCUCCUCAACUUCAGUUUUAACAUCAUUAAAUGUUCCAAAGUCGGGAUUCAACUUACGAGCACUUGUCCACGAGACUCCUACAUUAUCGGGCAGUCUUUUAUUGCACUCAUCAGAUUAUGCACCUGGGAGAGAUGGAAUUAUCUCAGUGGUUUAACUUCCCUACUUGGAAGCCAAUUGAAGCACAACACGUUUCGAACCUGGCUACCGGGGGAGGACAUCAUGUUUAUCCCCUAAAGAAUGGAGAUCCUUACCAAAUUCAACGAAUUGAUGUCCAGGCCUAUCAUUUGAGGGCUGUACCGGUAUUCGUUUUGUAUUACCGAAACAAACGCUUCAGUUGAAGUCGACGUAGGCCUUUCCACGUAAUCCACAGGUUACUGCAUCGUACCCUCUUUGCUAAUGAGCGAGGCCGGCAACAGUUGUUAAGGGUUUGAAUUCGUGUGAGUGGAAGAGUGGAUCGAUCUCUUGAUACCCUGAAGUAGUGCAUACCAGUGGUUGUAGAAAGGGUGGGUUUGAGUGAACCUCCUGCACCAGGUUUACAGACUAUCCGCGUCUAUUCCUCAAAUACUUCUAGGUCAUUGCCACUUCUUCAAAACGUUCUCACAACCAGUUCGAUCAGACGUGCUUGAACCUCUCGUCAUAGGCUUGCAGUGCAUAAAACCAAUUAGAGCACGCUUCUUCGCCGGCAACGCGCAUGCCAAUCCGAGCCAAGCAUCGCUCGCCUGAGCUUCCUGCGACAGUGAUAAAGAUGGACCGCUACAUGAGGAAGGACCUGAUCGAAAUGCUGGAUGCUGGUUUGAGCCUGCCUGCUGCAUUUCAGAAAUCUAACCAGCUGGUGGCGCAGUUGACAGACUAUCAAUUUUUCGAUUAUCCCCUCUUUGUCUAGCCGCAACAACCUGCAGAGGCAAUGCAGGUGCCUCCUCCUAGAGACCAUGAUGAAGCAGCUUGGGGUGUGAGAACUCUGGCUGAUCAGAGGGAUUUCGUGUUUUAUAAAUUCGGAAAGCGACUAAAGAUUUGGUCGGACACAGCUUGUGGCCCCUCCACUGAUGAUGCAGAUUCCCUUGACGUGAACUUAACCCCUCAACGAAAACGGAGGUGCAGAAGCGCUGCCCCCACAACCAACCCCAGUGCUUCCGAAUGACCGUCUCGCACCUGAGAAUGAAAUGGAAACAGGCCUCGGACCUUGCAGUGGUGAUUGAGCUUCACCUUCUUCAAUCACCACCUGAAUUCAUAUAAGUUCUCAAUCAUCGCAGCCUAAUGGGCUGCAACUUAGUCAUUACUGAGAAACAUUGUGGUUGGAUAAGUAUUCUCUGUAGCAACAGCAAACACAAAAAUAAUAAUAAUAUAUAAAAACCAAAAAAAUAAAAAAUAAAAUAAAAUGUAAAAGUAGUUUGUGGGAGUGUGUGUAUCUAUUGGAAUCGCGAUGUAAGCAACCACAACUUCUUUUGGGGUGUCGCUUUAGCAAUGCCCUAUAUGUAUAUGUUCUAUUGAAAAUGUCUGAGUACCAUUUACUAGUAUAGCUAAGUUCAGUACGGCGUAUAUGGAGGAGAAUCAGUGUGGUGAAGGACUUUUCCGUAGGGAGAACUUGCCCAGCUUGUUGAAACUUGACUUAAUUGCUUUGUAACAGUAGUAAAUUUGUAUAUGUUACGUGCA